rnacentral:rRNA from 1 species
UGGGGAAUAUUGCACAAUGGGGGAAACCCUGAUGCAGCGACGCCGCGUGAACGAAGAAGGUAUUCGUAUCGUAAAGUUCUGUCCUAUGGGAAGAUAAUGACAGUACCAUAGAAGAAAGCUCCGGCUAAAUACGUGCCAGCAGCCGCGGUAAUACGUAUGGAGCGAGCGUUGUCCGGAAUAUUUGGGCGUAAAGGGUACGCAGGCGGUUUAAUAAGUCGAAUGUUAAAGAUCGGGGCUCAACCCCGUAAAGCAUUGGAAACUGAUAAACUUGAGUAGUGGAGAGGAAAGUGGAAUUCCUAGUGUAGUGGUGAAAUACGUAGAUAUUAGGAGGAAUACCAGUAGCGAAGGCGACUUUCUGGACACAAACUGACGCUGAGGUACGAAAGCGUGGGGAGCAAACAGG